UUCAAACGUUCAAUACUGAUGUUAGGCUCUCCCUCUCUYUUCUYUACCCAGGAGGAAGCAUCCAACCAGCACAUGUCUAAGUUCMGGAAGGUUCAGAAUGAGCUGGAGGAGGCCGAGGAGCGUGCUGACAUCGCUGAGACUCAGGUCAACAAGCUCAGAUCCAAGAGCCGCGACAGYGGAAAGGGAAAAGAAGCUGCUGAAUAAACAAGACCAAAGUCUUAUCAAUUUCCUGUGUUUCAUAAAAUAUGAUUUUCAUGGUGAAAUGUUGAUCAUUGAUUAAAAACAUGUAGACCUACAUA